ACCAGACUCCUACGGGAGGCAGCAGUGAGGAAUAUUGGUCAAUGGGCGGGAGCCUGAACCAGCCAAGUCGCGUGAGGGAAGACGGUCCUAUGGAUUGUAAACCUCUUUAGGCGGGGAGCAAUGCCGGGCACGCGUGCCCGGAGGGAGAGUACCCGCAGAAUAAGCAUCGGCUAACUCCGUGCCAGCAGCCGCGGUAAUACGGAGGAUGCGAGCGUUAUCCGGAUUUAUUGGGUUUAAAGGGUGCGCAGGCGGAAUGUCAAGUCAGCGGUAAAAUUUCGGGGCUCAACCCCGUCGUGCCGUUGAAACUGGCGUUCUUGAGUGAGCGAGAAGUAUGCGGAAUGCGUGGUGUAGCGGUGAAAUGCAUAGAUAUCACGCAGAACUCCGAUUGCGAAGGCAGCAUACCGGCGCUCAACUGACGCUGAAGCACGAAGGCGUGGGUAUCGAACAGGAUUAGAUACCCUUGUAAG
rnacentral:rRNA from 1 species